rnacentral:lncRNA from 1 species
CCCUCUGGGGCCCUUGUUGCACGAAGCGAUCACCGCAAUAUUCCUGAAAUACGACAAUCUUUUGAUGGAGGAAAUGGCAACUUCAAUACAUUCGUCAGUGAAAGAGGACGAGUCAAUGUCAGUUCAGAAUCAAGACUCAGUUAAUGCACAUGAGGAUGAUUUUGAUGAUGAUGAUUUUGAUGAUGAUGAUGAUAUGUGUUCUGCUGAGUCCUACGCUGGGUCACCGAAACCAGCCAGGGGUAAAUGUGUAAAUCUGGAUGAUAGCGACAGCGGCGAAACCAUGUCAAUAACACAAUCAGAACACCAUUACACCCAAGACCAUGAGCUAGCAGACAAAGCAUUUUGGGAACCCAUCAAGUGGUCAGCCGAGAGAGGGGAAGAUGGUGAUCAGAGCUAUGGAACUCUCAAAUCCAAAUCACACGAAGUAUGUCAGCGAUGUCGAGCCUACGACACUCACUGUAGGUCAGCAGCCGAAAACUACAGGAGAACCUUGAACAAUUACACGAAGGCCAUGUCGGAACUCAUGGUGGGGUUCAAGAAGGUACUGGAACGAUACCCAGAGCUCAAGGCCGACUGUAGUGACGAGCGUGUGUACUACAUGGUACAAGCGGCUCUAGGUCGCAACAACCUAGUUCGGGAAAUGGUACGCUUAUCUGCGGCUGGCGUAGCCCGUGGGUUCAAAGUGAGAGAUUCGUGUGAUGCAUCGGUGACCGGUCAAAUCGCCGCAGUUCACGAAGCGCUCAACACGUGCUACGACGAUGGGGACGCGGUCAGGUUGAGCCUGGACCGGUACGCUGAUCUGUAUGUGCAAUACGUACAGGUCUGGCGGGAGAUGUGCACAAAGGUGUCUAAAGAUAUCACGGUGAUGGAAUUAGUGAGCUACACGGAGGGAAGGCCGGGUGUUACUCACGGCGAACCAUGGUGCGAAGCCAGAGCCUACAUACACCGCAUGGUUAGCCGCUCGAGGCGACUGACGCCUCGCUUGGUAGCAGACUAUUGCUCCGACAAGCUGAAGGACCUGGAAUGCA